rnacentral:rRNA from 1 species
CCUACGGGAGGCAGCAGUGGGGAAUAUUGCACAAUGGGGGAAACCCUGAUGCAGCGACGCCGCGUGAGUGAAGAAGUAAUUCGUUAUGUAAAGCUCUAUCAGCAGGGAAGAAAAUGACGGUACCUGAGUAAGAAGCCCCGGCUAACUACGUGCCAGCAGCCGCGGUAAUACGUAGGGGGCAAGCGUUAUCCGGAUUUACUGGGUGUAAAGGGAGCGUAGACGGCAGUUCAAGUCUGGAGUGAAAGGGGGGGGCUCAACCCCCGGACUGCUCUGGAAACUGUACGGCUGGAGUGCAGGAGAGGUAAGUGGAAUUCCUAGUGUAGCGGUGAAAUGCGUAGAUAUUAGGAGGAACACCAGUGGCGAAGGCGGCUUACUGGACUGUAACUGACGUUGAGGCUCGACAGCGUGGGGAGCAAACAGGAUUAGAUACCCGAGUAGUC